rnacentral:lncRNA from 1 species
CACACAGCCCAGCCCCUGCUGCCUGUCAAACAUGGCCACAUAAGCCAGAGUGACUAAAACCAGAUCUACUCCAGGACCCUGUUUCACACCGUUUCCAAUAGGAUGUGAAUCAGACAAGAUACCAUCAACCAAGCAUUCAGUCAGGAAACAGGACCUUGGUAAACCUUUCGGGGUGACCCGUCUUCCACUGCCAGGAUCCAGCCCGACUGACAGCAUCUAUUAGAAUGCUGCGGAACGAAACCCCCUUAAACCCCACAAAAUGGGCUUUGGAGCCAGGCGGCGGCCAGCCACGGGAAGUGUGCUAAGUGUGGAAAUUCCCUGCAAGCUUUUCAAGCAGCUCGAAGCCGUGAGCUCAGGAGGGACUUCAAAACUCCGAAGAGAAAUUCCACUUUCCUUUUCCUCGGCCCCGGGUCUUUCCAUUCCAAACACAGCCUCGCCGGUUGGAGCCACUUCAUGAAUGUGGGAUUGUUAGGGGUGGUGCGGAGACGAGCCAUUAUUUUUCUUAGGU